UUAAACUAGGGAUUAGAUACCCUAUUAUUAAAAUUUAAAUUUAAAAUACUAAAAAAGUAUAUAAUUAUUUAUUGAAACUUAAAUAAUUUGGCGGUAUUUUAGUUCAUUUAGAGGAAUCUGUUUAAUAAUUGAUAAUCCACGAAUAAAUUUACUUAAUUUUUUUUAUUUUGUAUAUCGUUGUUAUAAAAAUAUUUUUUAAUAAUAAUAAUAUUUUAAAAUUUUAAUUAAAAAUUAAAUCAGAUCAAGAUGCAGAUUAUAAUUAAGAAUAUAAUGGAUUACAAUAAAUUUAUUUAAAUGAAUAUUAAUUUGUAAAAUUUAAUUGAAGGUGGAUUUAAAUGUAA
rnacentral:rRNA from 1 species